GCCUUCGUGGUGUAGUGGUCAGCACGCUGGACGCGUAACCGAGAGGUCCGUGGUUCGAUUCCUGGCGAGGGCA
rnacentral:tRNA from 1 species